rnacentral:rRNA from 1 species
UACGGGGGGGGCAAGCGUUGUUCGGAAUUACUGGGCGUAAAGGGCUCGUAGGCGGCCAACUAAGUCAGACGUGAAAUCCCUCGGCUUAACCGGGGAACUGCCUCUGAUACUGGAUGGCUUGAGAUUGGGAGAGGGAUGCGGAAUUCCAGGUGUAGCGGUGAAAUGCGUAGAUAUCUGGAGGAACACCGGUGGCGAAGGCGGCUUACUGGACCACCACUGACGCUGAGGCACGAAAGCGUGGGUAGCAAACAGG